UUAUGUUCCUAAAAAUCAUUUUUGGUGUCUAAUUGAGUUCUUCUGAGAAAUUAUUUCAAAAAAUUAUUUUACUUCAUAUUUUAGCUUAAGAUUGCAGUAUCCUUUCAUUAUUGUAUAGAAAAUGAGUAAAUAUAUUGAUUUAUAAUUUAUAUCAUCUCUAUUUUAAAAUAUUUUAUUCGAAAUGCCCUAGAAGGAAUCUAAGAAUAGUUCGGAAGAUGUGAUUGAAAGUAAUGUGGAUGCAUUCUAAAUAUUUUUAACAAGGUGGAUAAUAUGAGGAGAAUAUUAAAAAGUAUUUCAAUACUUCUGAAAGAAAAAGUGAAAGAAUGGACUUCAUUCUCUUUAUAAAAUCGUUGCAAAAAAGCAAGUUCAUUAUGACCGCCAUAGUCUAAGAUAGUGAAAAAGUACUCUUUGUCAACCAGAUGUCAUUUUAGAGAUUUUGAAACCAGAUGUCAUUUUAGAGAUAUCUCUAAAUCUGCAUCAGCUGCACUUUGGAUACAAGAUCUACUCUCAAAGAAACACACACAUCCAAUGGACAAUAAAAAUUUCUCGAACAAAUAAUUGGAGGUUCAUGAAAGAUUCAAGAAAACUAAUCUUCAUUUGAAAGCCUUUUAACACAAGAAAUAUGAAUCUUGGAAAUUCAGUGCUAUUGAAAAAUUAAAAAAGUUUUUUCAUUCAAAUAUAUUGAGAAGACUUCAUAGUUAACCAGAUACCAUAAAAGGAAGAAGUGGGUACUACUUUUCUAA